rnacentral:rRNA from 1 species
GACGAACGCUGGCGGCGUGCUUAACACAUGCAAGUCGAACGCUGAAGCUCAGCUUUUGUUGGGUGGAUGAGUGGCGAACGGGUGAGUAACACGUGAGUAACCUGCCCCCUUCUUUGGGAUAACGCCCGGAAACGGGUGCUAAUACUGGAUAUUCACUGGUCUUCGCAUGGGGGUUGGUGGAAAGGGUUUUUCUGGUGGGGGAUGGGCUCGCGGCCUAUCAGCUUGUUGGUGGGGUGAUGGCCUACCAAGGCUUUGACGGGUAGCCGGCCUGAGAGGGUGACCGGUAACAUGGGGACGGAGAUACGGCCCAGACUCCUACGGGAGGCAGCAGUGGGGAAUAUUGCACAAUGGGUGCAAGCCUGAUGCAGCGACGCCGCGUGAGGGAUGGAGGCCGUCGGGUUGUGAACCUCUUUCGCUCAUGGUCAAGCCGCAACAAUGGUUGUGGUGAGGGUAGUGGGUAAAGAAGCGCCGGCUAACUACGUG